rnacentral:lncRNA from 1 species
AUGCCUCCCAAAAGCUCCCCACACCUCCCUCUCUUCUCCCUCUUGGUUCCAACAACCAAUAAGGUUGGGCGUCCUCCAUCUUCCAAUGCCCAAAGGAGUUGGGCAACAUCUCUUGGUUGCUGAUUUUCAAACCUUGGUUGUUUCAUAAUCAAGAAAAAAAUAAAAAAAGAAGAUAAGAAAAAAAUUAAGGAAAGGAUCAAAAAGUUGAUCACGAUCCA